AUAAGCCCCCCCCCCCCCCACACACACACACACACUUCUUAGCACUCUGUCCCAUAAUACAGGCCAGUCAGCAGACCAAUAGUCCUCGCAGGAAUCCCACGGAGUCGCAGAAGAUCCCAGAGUGCCUCGCGAUGCACUGAGUCAAACGCUUUCUUGAGAUGGACAUAAGCUGCAAGCAUCCCCUGUUCAAACUCACAUUGGUGCUCCACCAGUACGCUAGGAUACGGUCAGUUGUUGACUUAGCAGGCGUGAACCCACACUGUUCAGGUCUCUGCAGCUUCAGCAGCUGGCUGCGAAUGCACCAGCAAUAGGUGGGCAAGCCCCUUGCCUGGCACACUGAGCGGUGUAAUACCACGGUAGUUGUUGCAGUCCACCAACAGUUUGGCCCACAGUAACUCCCUACAUAUUCAUUAUUCAAAGGAACAAAAAAACAAGUCAGUGCAACAUGGUCUGGAGCAAGGGAAGGAGAAAUGGCAAGCUGCAUUUAUGCUGAGCAAAUUUAGCCCCCAAAAGUUACAAAUAUGGAAGUGUACAUGUUUAUGGCUGUUUUAAUUGAUAUUAUAUGCAGCACAGCAUGGAUUGUUCCCCUCACCCCAUACUUUUUUGUGUGUGUUAUACCUGUUGUUGUUGUUGACUCUAAGAGAGUGACUUGCUAGGAAUUAUAGAUGCCAGGGCCGACAGAACCAGGGUGGGAGGUGAAAUUAUAAGUUUUUUUUAACCUUUGCUGGGCGGGAUAGAGCACACUUAUCACCAGACAGAGAACCAGGUGGAGAGGUGGAGUUAUAACCUUUGCCAGGGCAGGAUGGAGCACACUUAUCACCAGACAGAGAACCAGGUGGAGAGGUGGAGUUAUAACCCUUGCCAGGGCAGGAUGGAGCACACUAACACCAGACAGAGAACCAGGUGGAGAGGUGGAGUUAUAACCUUUGCCAGGGCAGGAUGGAGCACACUUAUCACCAGACAGAGAACCAGGUGGAGAGGUGGAGUUAUAACCUUUGCCAGGGCAGGAUGGAGCACACUUUACACCAGACAUAGAACCAGGUGGAGAGGUGGAGUUAUAACCUUUGCCGGGGCAGGAUGGAGCACACUAACACCAGACAGAGAACCAGGUGCAGAGGUGGAAUUAUAACCUUUGUCGGGGUAGGAUGGAGCACACUAACACCAGACAGAGAACCAGGUGGACAGAUGGAAUUAUAACCUUUGCCAGGGCGGGAUGGAGCACACUAACACCAGACAGAGAGCUAGGCGGAGAGGUGGAAUCAGAGCAUUAGCCUGAACAAGGAGGAAUAUACUAACAUGACAGGAGAGUUAGAGCAUCCUAGGAAAGGCCAUAAUCCUGUAGUGGACUGUUGAUGGUUAACCUGUCCACUGCAACUGUCAGGGAUUUGUCCUUCUCUGGUAGCCUGGUAACUUAUAGUCCCAGGUUUCCUCUGCCUCUAUGGUGGAUAGUGGAGUGUUUCCCAUGUGGUAUUGGUGUGCUGGAUAUCCCUUCACUGGUAGCCUGGUAACAUACACUCCCAGGUCUUUCUCUGCCUCUGUGGUGGAUAGUGCAGUGUUUCCCAUGUGGUAUUGGUGUGCUGGAUAUCCCUUCACUGGUAGCCUGGUAACAUACACUCCCAGGUCUUUCUCUGCCUCUGUGGUGGAUAGUGCAGUGUUUCCCAUGUGGUAUUGGUGUGCUGGAUAUCCCUUCACUGGUAGCCUGGUAACAUACACUCCCAGGUCUUUCUCUGCCUCUGUGGUGGAUAGUGGAGUGUUUCCCAUGUGGUAUUGGUAUGCUGGAUAUCCCUUCACUGGUAGCCUGGUAACAUACACUCCCAAGGCUUUCUCUGCCUUUGUGGUGGAUAGUGGAGUGUUUGCCAUGUGGUAUUGGUGUGCUGGAUAUCCCUUCACUGGUAGCCUGGUAACUUACACUCCCAAGGCUUUCUCUGCCUUUGUGGUGGAUAGUGGAGUGUUUGCCAUGUGGUAUUGGUGUGCUGAAUAUCCCCUCCAAAGGUGCAGGACUUAACAUUUUUAUUCAUUUAAUUAUAGCAGACACUUUGUUCCAUUCCUGUAGCUUGGUGAGGUCAAGAGUUAAACAUAGUAAUGUAAUGGCAUUUUCUUGCAUGGGAUGUGCAUUAGUGUGUGACCCUGAUGUGAAAUUUGUCGUUUGAGAGGAAUGAAAGGUUGUCAUGUUUGGUUGUUGUUCAGCAGUACAGUGAUCAGCAGGAUCCUCCAGCAGACCAAGCACUGGGGUUUGGGAGUGUAUUUUUUCUUUUUUCCAAUUCUUUGCCGAUCGAAGGGCUUGAUCAGUAGUUAUUUAGCAAGAUUGAAUUAGUUUCCAUUCUUGUUUCCAGUAUAUUCAUGGACACAUAAAGCGGUAAGCUUGUGGUUGUUGCAGCAUUCUCUGCCGAACUGAAGGGCUUGCUCAACAGUUAUUUAGCAAGAUUGAAUUAGUUUCCAUUCUUGUUUCCAGUAUAUUCAUGGAAACAUAAAGAGGUAAGCUUGUGGGUGUUGCAGCAUAUGUUUCUUCUUUCUACAAACACUGUUUUCGACUUUCUUCU